UGAGGAAUAUUGCACAAUGGGCGCAAGCCUGAUGCAGCGACGCCGCGUGUGGGAUGAAGGGGCUACGCCUCGUAAACCACUGUAGCCCGGGACGAAAAACGCCUUAGAGGCGUUAGACGGUACCGGGAAAGUAAGGGUCGGCUAACUACGUGCCAGCAGCCGCGGUAAUACGUAGGACCCAAGCGUUGUCCGGAUUUACUGGGUGUAAAGGGUGCGCAGGCGGAUGGGUAAGUCAGGGGUGAAAGUCAGCAGCUUAACUGUAGAAUUGCCUUUGUGACUGCUCAUCUUGAGUGUGGUAGAGGUUGAUGGAAUUCCAGGUGUAGCAGUGAAAUGCGUAGAUAUCUGGAAGAACACCAGUGGCGAAGGCGGUCAACUGGCCCAUAACUGACGCUCAUGCACGAAAGCGUGGGGAGCAAACA
rnacentral:rRNA from 1 species